rnacentral:misc_RNA from 1 species
UCGCAGCGGCCGACUAGUGAUGUGCAGCGCGUGGGCACACACACACACACACACACACACACACUCGCACCUUUGAGGGCUGUCGGUGGAAUGCCCACCAGGCGGGGUAAGAGGAUCGUCGACGCCCGUCCGCAGUCGGUGGCGGACGGGGUGGGCAGCGUCCCUCUUUCGGUAGCAUUCACCACUUCGGCUGAACAGACAACGCUGACAGCCAUGCCAGCGUCGACGGCGGCCACAACUGCGACAGCAGCGGUGACGACGCGAGGCGGCCGCGCCACAGUGUCGGGUGUCGCGAAGAUCGAGGUGGCGGCACCGACGAAUGGGAGCAGCAGCAACGGCGCUAUGUUCUCUGCAGCGGGUCACGUGAAGGUGCCGGCUGCCGUGCUGCAGCGCAUUCAGCAGCUAGGACACUCUAACGCUGCAACGCAAGCGAUCUGCACCGACCCCACCGCUUCUGCAACGGCGUCGACGCCAGAGGCAGCCGUUCGUGCCGGUGCGCCUGUGCCACUGCCGCCGGCGCUUUCCUCUACUCGUGGCAGCACUCGAGCUCGCGCCAGGGGUGCGAAGACGUCGAGCAGUACCGUGGAGGCGUCAACUGCAUCCUCUCCACGGUCUCCGGAUUUGACCACAAAGACGUCGCAGCUCCCAUUUACAGCGCCAGAAGCCCUUCUUACGGCCGUCGAGGAGGUAAGCGAGGCGGUUGUUUCGGCUACGGUGGCGGCCCACAAAACGGCCAGCAGCAGCCACGCGCAGGAUGACGGCAAAGAGCCCCUUCUGAUGCCUAGGCAGCAGAAACCGGUGAUUUUCUCGCGCCAGUGGCGUCGACAACUCUUCGCCGGCACCGCCUCGUCGUCAUUGCCCUUGGCGUCCGGCAAGCCGAUCGCCGGCUCUACCGUCGAGGAUGUACUGCGAGGUCACGGCCAGAGCAUAGGCCGGCGUGCGCGCGGGGACGUGAGGGAGAGCGACUCCGACAGCGUCGCUGACGAGGAGGGCGAUGAUGACGAGGAGGACGCGUCACCCUUUGGCAAGGCGAGUGUCAUCAAGUUCAGCCGCACCGACGGCGGCAGCGGUGUGCCCGGUAGGCUUGCAGCGGCACCGCCGAGCGGCGACUUCGGUGAUGAGGAGGACCAGCUCAGCGCUGAAUCAGCAUCCAUGAUGCAGGCUAUGGCUGGCAGGGCAGUGUAUGACCGUCGUAACGGUGCGGCACUGCAGUUCUCGGGGGCGCCGACACGUCGGCAGCGGCACCAGCUACGGCAGCAGGCACAGGAGGCGCGUGAGCACCACCGCGUACGGCGUCACAUGGCUGGCUUCGAUCCGGACUUCCUGAGUCGGCAGGAGUCUCGGUUGCAGGUGCACAGGGAGCGGGACAGCAACGAGGAGGUCGAGGACGAGGAGAGUGGCGCGCACUCUUCGGAGGGGGAGACGGACUACAGCGCAUCAUCCACGGCGGAGAGCGAAGCGCUCUCCUCCGUCAGCGCCGAGGGAGACGACGACGAAGCGGAGGAAGCUGAAGAGGAUGGAGACGUCGAUGGUGACCUGCUAGACCCCUCCGCAUCUGCGCCGCACGGAGAUCUCAGUGCAGCCGGUGGUGACGGAUUCGGCGCUGCGGAGCGUACUGAGCACGAGCGCCAGGGGCGCGCACACGACAAGAGCGGUACGGCGGCACCGCCUGCAGUGAUCGACGAGCCUGGCGACAGUGGCAGCAGCACGAGUCCGGCGGCUGCGCGUUCUCAGUUUUUCCAGUCGUUCUUUUUUGCGUGCCACGAGGACCGCAUGCGCCGCAGUGACUGCCAUCACACCCUCGUCGGGCUUCGCGACACCAUCACCAUCAAAGGACCGUGCGGCAUCAUCGGUUUUGGCCUUGGCGAGGUCUCUGUGAACGGCUUCUACCUUGGUCGCAAGCAACUGACCCUGUGGCACGAAGAGCACCGAGCGGUGCUGAUGCCCAUGAAGCGGCUCAAGACGCGGCACGCGCAGGACAUGGAGCUGCCCCAGUGGCCCCGCGUGCCGGCGCCUCCCUGGCCCCCUCGAAGUUUUUUGACGGCCGCCGCUGCCGGAGAAAGCACGUCGACGGACGUUGGGGAUGCUUUGGGACAGCCACUGAAUCCUCUGUACUACCGCGGCGUGUGUGAUGCAUCACGGAGCAGGACGUCUGCGACGGUGAAUGGCACUCCAGCAGCACCCGCUGCUGCCGCCGCUGCUGCUGCUGAGGCGGCAGACGAGGAGGAGGCCUUUCUGCAGUCGCUGCAGUGGAGCUGCGAGUCCGUGUUUGGGGCGGUGGACUGGGAUUGGGUGGAGGCGACGGUGCAGAGUUGGCGCAAUCUCUUUUCCAACCAGCUGCCACCGAUCUUCUUGAUUGUGCAGCCGCCCUCUUACACUCGCCGGCAUGGCGACGAAGGGCCAACGCGAAGGUUCUACCUCACCCGCAAGCGCGGUCGUCAGGACGGCGCUGCUGGUGGCAAGUCAAAGGUGUGCAAGAAGGGAGGCGUGUCGCAGGACGCCGCCGCCGCGCCGUCGAGCGCGUACAUGGACAUUCCGUCGUUUGUCGCCCACCGCAGCGAGCCGUCCGUCGAUCUCGCCCUGGUGCCGAGCAUCGUGCCGUCGAUCGCGGCACAGGGCUGCGGCUCUGUCAUGGUGCUGGGCUCUGCGAACAUUGGAAAGUCGACGCUGUGCCGAUACUUGGCGAACGUCCUCCUCAGUCAGCACGGACUCUGCUACUGGCUCGACCUCGAUGUCGGGCAGCCUGAGUUCGGCGUCCCGGGUCAGCUGACGCUCUCCAUUGUGCGGCGUCCGCUGCUGCGUGCACACGACGCGAGCUGCGCUCAGGUUGUCGCGGCUUUCUUCAUCGGCGCCAGCACAGCGGCACCAUGCCCGCUGACUGCAGCGAACGCGCUGGCGGCUGUCUGCGCGCAGGCGCGAGCGGUGAGCAGAGAACAUCCUGUGGUGGUGAACACGCAUGGCUGGGUUCUGCAGACGGGACGGCGUGUCUCUGUCGAGGCACUGCGGCGUCUGCGACCACGCCAGGUGAUUCACUUGCACAAGGCACGGGAGGAGUUGUGGGUGCGGGACACGGCAGCCUUGCUGGAUCCGCGCAACGGGCUGAACGCCGAGGUGGUGCAGCGCCGCUUCCUUGUUCGUCACAGCACUGCCAGCUCUCCGGCCGCUGCUGCUGCUGCUGCUGCUGCUGGUGAGAACAAUGGUGGUCCUGCCGCAUGCUCGAAGAAGAACAGGAUCAAGGCUGCGCCUCUCAGUAGCUCGACGCCGUCGGUGGCCUUGCUCUGUCGUCUCCCGUAUCCGCACGCUCGUGAGGAUGCUGUCCAGCUGCCUGCGCCCACAGACCGCGAGUCGCCGGUUUCGUCCCUCACGACCACGAGCGCGUACAGGUGGCGUGGCCAGGUGCACUCGGUUCGCGUGGAGCGCGAGGAGACGUACUCGUCGAUAGCACGCAUCAAGGCGACGAAGGGCAACCGUGGACGGCAACAGCGGUGGGAGACGUACUUUUCGGCCCUGCUCCGCCAUUACACCGGCAGCACCGCCGCUGGCGCGAAGGCGGCGAGUGGCGACUUAAACGCGGGGGAGGAGGAGCCCGAGACGACCCUCCUCGAGGCGCCGCUCUCGGCACUGCACUCGAUCGUGCUGGCCGAGCGUGAUGAGAAGCUCGGCGAUGUUUGCCUGGUGGAACCCACACUGUCCUCCUCGUCCUCCGAAGAAGCGAAAUCCCAUGCCACCGCCGCUGCUGCUGCUGCUGCUGAGCGCCGGCGAAGCCGCCAAACGCACGCGGAGUUGGCAGCGGCGUUGGAGCACGCGGUAGUCGCCGUCCUCUUCCACGCUCAACCCUCCGCUGUGGCGGCACACGGCCAGACGAACGGCGGCGAAAGGUGCGGCAUCGUGCGCAGUCUUGCCUCCCUCCAAAACGGGUUUCCCGUGUCGUGCUACGGUGUUGUGGAGAGCGGCGAGCGGGAGCUCCUGCAUGGCGUCGAGGCGGCACAGCGGGAGAAGGAUGCGAGCUCGUCGUGGAGCAGUUCCGCCUCAGUCGGUUGGAUUCGAAUCCGCGUGCCGCUGCGACCAAGCGUCGUCGCAGCGAUGCUCUCUAACCCCGAGCGCGGGCCUGCGGCUGCGGCCGCCAAGUGGUGCACCCGCGUUUCCAUCGCCUAUAGUGCCGCCUUGCGUAGCGAGACCGCCUUUGUCGAUGCCUGGCGGUGACACGCUCUCUUCACUGACUCUACCCCCGCCCCGAUCGUGAACUCGCCCCUCUCUUCUUCUUCGCCCCCUCCCCACCCGUGGUCUCUCUCUCUCGCCGACGUGCGUGCGUGCGUGCGGAGGGGGGGCGUCUGCCACGAUGAGGGGAGGGGUGCGGCUGAGUGACGCAGUGGCAGUGCACACACAUGCAUAUAUAUAUAUAUAUACAUAUAUGCGUACGUAUAAAGGCUAAUGGAUGGACAGGUAACUACGUAACAUAUACAUAUAUACACAUACAAGCAUAUAUGCAUGGAUUCUUAUCCACGUGCACACCGCGGGGCGAAGAGGAAGCGCCCACUCGGUGUGAUUUUCGGGUAGUGGAGGGAAGAGGCGAAUGCUUGGGGGCCUGUGCGGUGACUCCAGCGUGGCUGGACCCUCCAAGGCGCUCUGCAGAGGUAAUCAGGCGUGUCGAGAGGGGUGUGCAAGCAUUUGCGUAUGUGUGUGUCACAGCACACGCUUCUCUCACCGCUGUGUCUCCCUCGUCUGCUUAAAAAAGUAACAGAAGUCCGUCCGACACCUUCAACCAGAUCACUCUGCGUGUGCGGGUGCGUAUGGCUUCUCUGCUACCCUCGCUCUCACGCGCACUCACACAUUCAGCUACACGUACGUAUAUACGUGCGUUUACGUCCAUACCCGUCUU